rnacentral:rRNA from 1 species
CCUACGGGGGGCAGCAGUGAGGAAUAUUGGUCAAUGGACGAGAGUCUGAACCAGCCAAGUAGCGUGAAGGAUGACUGCCCUAUGGGUUGUAAACUUCUUUUAUAUGGGAAUAAAACGUUCCACGUGUGGGAUUUUGUAUGUACCAUAUGAAUAAGGAUCGGCUAACUCCGUGCCAGCAGCCGCGGUAAUACGGAGGAUCCGAGCGUUAUCCGGAUUUAUUGGGUUUAAGGGGGGCGUAGGUGGAUUGUUAAGUCAGUUGUGAAAGUUUGCGGCUCAACCGUAAAAUUGCAGUUGAAACUGGCAGUCUUGAGUACAGUAGAGGUGGGCGGAAUUCGUGGUGUAGCGGUGAAAUGCUUAGAUAUCACGAAGAACUCCGAUUGCGAAGGCAGUUCACUGGACUGCAACUGACACUGAGGCUCGAAAGUGUGGGUAUCAAACAGGAUUAGAUACCCCAGUAGUC